rnacentral:rRNA from 1 species
GACGAACGCUGGCGGCGUGCUUAACACAUGCAAGUCGAACGGAAAGGCCCUGCUUUUGUGGGGUGCUCGAGUGGCGAACGGGUGAGUAACACGUGAGUAACCUGCCCUUGACUUUGGGAUAACUUCAGGAAACUGGGGCUAAUACCGGAUAGGAGCCCCUGCUGCAUGGUGGGGGUUGGAAAGUUUCGGCGGUUGGGGAUGGACUCGCGGCUUAUCAGCUUGUUGGUGGGGUAGUGGCUUACCAAGGCUUUGACGGGUAGCCGGCCUGAGAGGGGGACCGGCCACAUUGGUACUGAGGUACGGCCCAGACUCCUACGGGAGGCAGCAGUGGGGAAUAUUGCACAAUGGGCGGAAGCCUGAUGCAGCAACGCCGCGUGCGGGAUGACGGCCUUCGGGUUGUAAACCGCUUUCGCCUGUGACGAAGCGUUAGUGACGGUAAUGGGUAAAGAAGCACCGGCUAACUACGUG